rnacentral:rRNA from 1 species
AACGAACGCUGGCGGCAUGCCUAACACAUGCAAGUCGAACGAGACCUUCGGGUCUAGUGGCGCACGGGUGCGUAACGCGUGGGAAUCUGCCCUUGGGUUCGGAAUAACAGUUAGAAAUGACUGCUAAUACCGGAUGAUGACGUAAGUCCAAAGAUUUAUCGCCCAAGGAUGAGCCCGCGUAGGAUUAGCUUGUUGGUGAGGUAGAAGCUCACCAAGGCGACGAUCCUUAGCUGGUCUGAGAGGAUGAUCAGCCACACUGGGACUGAGACACGGCCCAGACUCCUACGGGAGGCAGCAGUGGGGAAUAUUGGACAAUGGGCGAAAGCCUGAUCCAGCAAUGCCGCGUGAGUGAUGAAGGCCUUAGGGUUGUAAAGCUCUUUUACCCGGGAUGAUAAUGACAGUACCGGGAGAAUAAGCCCCGGCUAACUCCGUGCCAGCCGCCGCAGUAACAC